UUUUAAAAAUCGGUGCGAAAAAAAAUAGGCGGGAUUGAGGGGAUGAUGAGUUAAUCGCACCGGUUCGGUUUGAACCGGUGCGAAAGCUAUUGGAAAAAAAAAAACCCCGGCCAUUUUUAUUUUCUUUCUUACUCUUUCUAUCUUCUUUCUUUCUCUUUCCUCGAUCUCUCCUCCUCUCAACAAUGGAAACCCUAAAUUCCUCCUCUCUCCUUCGAUCUCCUUCUCUCUCCUUCGAUCUCCUUCUCUUUCCUCAAACUGAAAAAAACCCUAAAGCUCCUUUGCUUUGCAAUCAACCAUUAACGUUUCCUCGCGUCCUCCUCCUUAGGCAGUUCGAUUCUUGAACACUAUUGGUUAUAAUUGAAGCUCCUGAUGCUAGGUGAAUUCUGAUCUUGACAUAGAGUUAAAGCAUCUUGCACAACCACAACUCUACCAGGAAAAGAGUCUCAGUAAAAUGUUUGGCAAAGAUGAAAACUCAUAAUAAGGAAACCUAUGCCCUUUUCAACAAAAAAUUCUCUUCAUUUGCGCUCUACGAAGGGAAACAUGGUGAAAACUAUAAUCCCUAUCAAGUCUCAUCUAUGUUUCAGCCAAGAAACCAAGACACGACAUUUGUGGAUAGAUUAAGAAAAUGGGUAGACAGUUUCCAGCUUGAUUCAGGUAGAGUUCUGGCAAUCUAGCUACUGUUAAGUACCAAUAGGCCACUUUUUGGUUGAAUGUUGCACUUUUAUUGUUUUUCUCUUAAAUGUUUAGCUCCGCUAUCUGGUCUCAAAGUGAUUUUUUGAAAUCACAUAAGUAUAAAUGACCCCCUUGUAUGUAAGAGUUGACCAGACUAUGUUUAUUAAGUUGCAAAGAAUUUCGUGUUAGAGAUUUAUUAUUGUAAAUGUAUUUUUCUUGAGAUAAAUGGAAGAGUAAUUGUUACUGUUA